AACGAACGCUGGCGGCAUGCCUAACACAUGCAAGUCGAACGAGACCUUCGGGUCUAGUGGCGCACGGGUGCGUAACGCGUGGGAACCUGCCCUUAGGUUCGGAAUAACUCCCCGAAAGGGGUGCUAAUACCGGAUAAUGUCUUCGGACCAAAGAUUUAUCGCCCUUGGAUGGGCCCGCGUUGGAUUAGCUAGUUGGUAGGGUAAAAGCCUACCAAGGCGACGAUCCAUAGCUGGUCUGAGAGGAUGAUCAGCCACACUGGGACUGAGACACGGCCCAGACUCCUACGGGAGGCAGCAGUGGGGAAUAUUGGACAAUGGGCUAAAGCCUGAUCCAGCAAUGCCGCGUGAGUGAUGAAGGCCUUAGGGUUGUAAAGCUCUUUUACCCGGGAUGAUAAUGACAGUACCGGGAGAAUAAGCUCCGGCUAACUCCGUG
rnacentral:rRNA from 1 species